rnacentral:rRNA from 1 species
GACGAACGCUGGCGGCGUGCUUAACACAUGCCAGUCGAACGGAAAGGCCCCCUUGUGGGGUACUCGAGUGGCGAACGGGUGAGUAACACGUGAGUAACCUACCCUUGACUUUGGGAUAACUUCAGGAAACUGGGGCUAAUACCGGAUAGGAGCUCCUGCUGCAUGGUGGGGGUUGGAAAGUUUCGGCGGUUGGGGAUGGACUCGCGGCUUAUCAGCUUGUUGGUGGGGUAGUGGCUCACCAAGGCUUUGACGGGUAGCCGGCCUGAGAGGGUGACCGGCCACAUUGGGACUGAGAUACGGCCCAGACUCCUACGGGAGGCAGCAGUGGGAAUAUUGCACAAUGGGCGGAAGCCUGAUGCAGCAACGCCGCGUGCGGGAUGACGGCCUUCGGGUUGUAAACCGCUUUCGCCUGUGACGAAGCGUGAGUGACGGUAAUGGGUAAAGAAGCACCGGCUAACUACGUG